UACGGGGGGGGCAAGCGUUGUUCGGAAUUACUGGGCGUAAAGGGCUCGUAGGCGGCCAACUAAGUCGGAUGUGAAAUCCCCAGGCUUAACCUGGGAAUUGCAUCCGAUACUGGAUGGCUUGAAUCCGGGAGAGGGAUGCGGAAUUCCAGGUGUAGCGGUGAAAUGCGUAGAUAUCUGGAGGAACACCGGUGGCGAAGGCGGCGUCCUGGACCGGCAUUGACGCUGAGGAGCGAAAGCGAGGGGAGCAAACGGG
rnacentral:rRNA from 1 species